rnacentral:misc_RNA from 1 species
AAAACCUUCAAGUUGAUGUCCCACUUAAGUCUAACCGCAAUAGUCGCAGUGCUCGGGUCCUUCCCCAGAGAGGUAGUCCAUUGCCGACUGCUAGAACUGCCAGGAUCCGAAACUUAAGAGAGAACAAAGUGGUAAAGCCUUGUGAAGGCAAGAGUCUGAAAAGCAUUUCACCUGUGCCAAAGAGCACAACCGCAUGGAUGUUACACUCUAGACUAUCUACUGACGUUCUUGAUAAAGCAGAGCAGUUUUUUGCUGCAGUCACCUGCAAUGAGAAUGGAGAAUUAUGAAUUUACUUACUGUAUAGCUUUUAGUUGUAUCCAUUAUUUUUUUUGAGUGCUUAAUGUCAAAUAAGCACAGU